UGCACGGUGGCACAGUUGAUAGCACUGUUGCCUUGCAGUGAGAAGGUCCCAGGUUCAAUUCCUGGCUGGGGGUCUUUCUGCAU